CUGCAAACCAGAUUCAGAUCAGAUCUUCACAUGCCAGAGUACCUCUGUCAACAUCAAACAGUGAAAAUGCACAAACUUCAGCUACUGCAUCUACGAGUACAGGCCAAGCUUGUCUGAAAUCUGGAAUAAGCAUUCGACUGGAUAAAGCGGCAAUACCAGCUAAACGCCCCCGCUUUGCUGACAAACAACCUGGCGGAUCUAUAGGGAUACUCUAGUUCAGCGGUCGGCAACAAGCGGCCCUCUCACUCGCGGCCCGCGAGCCCCCCUGGC